GACGAUCGCUGGCGGCGUGCUUAACACAUGCAAGUCGAACGGAAAGGCCUCUUUCGGGGGGUACUCGAGUGGCGAACGGGUGAGUAACACGUGAGUAACCUGCCCUUGACUUUGGGAUAACUUCAGGAAACUGGGGCUAAUACCGGAUAGGAGCUCCUGCUGCAUGGUGGGGGUUGGAAAGUUUCGGCGGUUGGGGAUGGACUCGCGGCUUAUCAGCUUGUUGGUGGGGUAGUGGCUUACCAAGGCUUUGACGGGUAGCCGGCCUGAGAGGGUGACCGGCCACAUUGGGACUGAGAUACGGCCCAGACUCCUACGGGAGGCAGCAGUGGGGAAUAUUGCACAAUGGGUGGAAGCCUGAUGCAGCAACGCCGUGUGCGGGAUGACGGCCUUCGGGUUGUAAACCGCUUUCGCUCAUGACGAAGCUUUGUGUGACGGUAGUGGGUAAAGAAGCACCGGCUAACUACGUG
rnacentral:rRNA from 1 species